AGCUCCAAUAGCGUAUAUUAAAGUUGUUGCAGUUAAAUAGCUCGUAGUUGAAUUUUGGGCUGGGCUGGGUGGUCAUGGCGCAAGCUAUGCACUACUCUGGUCUGGUCUUUCCUUCUGGGGAUCUAUCGUGCUCUUUACUGGGUGCGGUAGGGAACCAGGACUUUUACUUUGAAAAAAUUAGAGUGUUCAAAGCAGGCAUUUGCUCGAAUACAUUAGCAUGGAAUAAUAGAAUAGGACCCUGGUUCUAUUUUGUUGGUUUCUAGGACCGAGGUAAUGAUUAAUAGGGAUAGUUGGGGGCAUUAGUAUUUAAUUGUCAGAGGUGAAAUUCUUGGAUUUAUGAAAGACUAACUUCUGCGAAAGCAUUUGCCAAGGAUGUUUUCA
rnacentral:rRNA from 1 species